rnacentral:rRNA from 1 species
GAUGAACGCUCGCGGCAGGCCUAAUACAUGCAAGUCGAACGGGUGGUCGCAAGACCACUAGUGGCGCACGGGUGCGUAACGCGUAACCAACCUGCCCCGAUCUGGGGGAUAGCCCGCCGAAAGGCGGAUUAAUACCGCAUAUACCCGCAGCCUGGCAUCAGGCAACGGGGAAAGAUUUAUUGGAUCGGGAUGGGGUUGCGUGACAUUAGCUAGUUGGCGGGGUAAGGGCCCACCAAGGCGACGAUGUCUAGGGGACCUGAGAGGGUGAUCCCCCACACUGGCACUGAGAUACGGGCCAGACUCCUACGGGAGGCAGCAGUAGGGAAUAGUGGGCAAUGGGCGAGAGCCUGACCCAGCCAUGCCGCGUGCCGGAUGAAGGCCUUCUGGGUUGUAAACGGCUUUUCUCAGGGAAGAAAAAGACCUUGCGAGGUACACUGACGGUACCUGAGGAAUAAGCACCGGCUAACUCCGUG